AUAAAAAGCAGCAAGAAGCUACUGCACCAUUGUGGCUUCUACAUAUCCACACAGAACACAUCAGCAGGAAGACGGAGCAUUUUAUUACUCAGGUUUCCUGUCAGGACAUCCUGGCUUGAAACACAGUUUUGUAACUGAAAAAUAGAGGAUAACCGACAGAUGCGAAACUGCCAGAUUGUGUCCCUGAGGCUCUCAGAAAUCUGUCAGCUUGCAAGGAGAACACAAAAGCAGGUAUGAAAAUCUGAGAGACAGUUUGCUUUGUUUUGUUUUAUUUUAUUUCCCAGGGAAGAAGAGCUUGGGACUAUGGAGACAUGAACUGAUUCAAGGAGUCUGGCCUGGGGAAGCCCUCAUGCACAGAUUCUGAGCAGACAGGGCCCUGUCUUAAAUGGCCUUGGACAUGGGGUACAAGCCUCACCACAUAAAGUGGUAGGUGAAACCAGGAAUGUAAAUUACUGAGCCUUGUUUAGCUACCAACCUUACCUCCUCCUCUGUUUCCCCAGCUUCAAAGAGAACGUAGGUGACCACAGCCUCUGACGUCUUGCAGGUUGGCACAGACGUCUGAGGGCCCGCUGUGCAUCUCUCCGCCUUGUUCCGGGCAAGGCCUCUCUUCCCUGCUACAAGAGCAGUCUGACCAAGGAAAUCAUGGAGCUCACCUGCCCUUAGUCAAGACCCACCCUGCCAUUCCCGUGCUGGGGCUUACUUCUAUGCUUCCCAGGAUGGCCAAAUCCCUUGUGUUCAGGUCUCCAAAAUGCUUUAGAACUCAAUCGAUUAGACUUAAAUUACAACCACUUUCCUUCCUGAGAUUGCUCUCAGUCAUCUAUCAGUGUUCGGGGUAUCCUCAAACUUUCAGGCAAUAAAUUUACAACUUCAGGGUUUCCUUUCCUGGUUAGCUAAUCAUCCAUUACAUGUGAUUUUACUGGGCUAAAGGCAAACAUUUCCUGUCACUUAGGUGUGCAGGCCGUAUUAGGCAAAGUAGCCCUGGGUCACGUAGGCCCAUGUGCUCUCGUGAGCAGAAGCUACCUGCCUUGCUCAAAACCAAGGAAUAUUUCCUUACCAAGCCCUGAGUUGUUGUUGUUGUUUUUUAAAGAUUUUAUUUAUUUAUUUGACAGAGAGAUAGAUCACAAAUAGGCAGAGUAGGGGCGCCUGGGUGGCUCAGUGGUUUAGGCCUCUGCCUUCAGCUCAGGUCAUGAUCUCAGGGUCCUGGGAUCGAGUCCCGCAUCGGGCUCCUUGCUCAGCAGGGAGCCUGCUUCCCCCUCUCUCUCUGCCUGCCUCUCUGCCUACUUGUGAUUUCUCUCUAUCAAAUAAAUAAAUAAAAAUCUUAGAAAAAAAAAAUAGGCAGAGUAGCAGGCUGAGAGAAGGAGAAGCAGGCUCCUUAC
rnacentral:lncRNA from 1 species